rnacentral:rRNA from 1 species
UACGUAGGGGGCAAGCGUUGUUCGGAAUUACUGGGCGUAAAGGGCGCGUAGGCGGCCUGCUAAGUCGGACGUGAAAUCCCUCGGCUCAACCGGGGAACUGCGUCCGAUACUGGUGGGCUCGAAUCCGGGAGAGGGAUGUGGAAUUCCAGGUGUAGCGGUGAAAUGCGUAGAUAUCUGGAGGAACACCGGUGGCGAAGGCGGCAUCCUGGACCGGUAUUGACGCUGAUGCGCGAAAGCCAGGGGAGCAAACGGG